GACGAACGCUGGCGGCGCGCUUAACACAUGCAAGUCGAGCGAUGAAAUCUUGACAGAUCCCUUCGGGGUGAAGAUAAGAUGGAUUAGCGGCGGACGGGUGAGUAACACGUGAGUAACCUGCCUUAGACAUUGGGAUAGCCUCGGGAAACCGGGAUUAAUACCAAAUGAAAUCAUAGGUGCCCAUGCACUAAUGAUCAAAACUCCGGUGGUCUAAGAUGGACUCGCGUCCCAUUAGCUAGUUGGUGAGGUAACGGCCCACCAAGGCGACGAUGGGUAGCCGGCCUGGGAGGGUGAACGGCCACAUUGGAACUGAGAAACGGUCCAAACUCCUACGGGAGGCAGCAGUGGGGAAUAUUGCACAAUGGAGGGAACUCUGAUGCAGCGACGCCGCGUGAACGAUGAAGGCUUUCGAGUCGUAAAGUUCUUUUAUAUGGGAAGAUAAUGACGGUACCAUAAGAAAAAGCCCCGGCUAACUACGUGCCAGCAGCCGCGGUAAUACGUAGGGGGCUAGCGUUGUCCGGAAUCACUGGGCGUAAAGGGUUCGCAGGCGGAAAUGCAAGUCAGAUGUCCCAGGCAGUAGCUUAACUACUGCUAAGCCAUUUGAAACUGCAUAUCUCUGACAAGAGUAGCAGGUACGUGGCAAUCUCCAGUGUAGCGGUGAACUGCGUCCCAUCUUACCCAACGAAUACCGGGUGGCCCAAGGCCGACUUCACCGGGC
rnacentral:rRNA from 1 species